rnacentral:lncRNA from 1 species
UCAUUGUUACUACCAGUAUUAUUCUCUGUGGUGACCAUAAUUUCUGGGUGGAAAAAACUUGUUUCCGUGCACUUUCAGUGACAGCAUAGAAGAUGGAAUUGUUCCUGGAUUUAAACCAAAAAUAUCACCUUCCUUCUGUAAUCCUAAUAAAUUUUUGUAACACUGUAAUUAUUUGUAGUAUUUUUAACUGUAUUUUUAAUUGCCAAAUCAAAAUGCAAACUUUUAACUGAUUUUUUAUGCCCCUCCUUAGAUGUUUUGCAAUUAUUAUACUGUUUUCUCCUAGUCUUAGAAUCCUUUGUAUCAUUAAAAUACUUUUCAAAUGGAAUUACUUUUGUCAUGUUCUUCCUUUACUGAUAUCUUUAUUUGACUUCAUUCAUAUAAGCCACUCUACUCAGAUUAUUAUGUAGAAAAUUUAUUAAGAUGGGGAUUGUUGAGAAGAAGUCAAAACAGACCUAAUGCUGCUCAGUGUAGCUACCUCUUAGCACCAUUCUUAUAAGUCAAAAUUCUUUAAAUGUACAAAUAAAUAUAAUGUUUUGAAUGUAAAUGAACAUAGAAAAUAGAACAUUUUCUCUUUUCAAUGCCAUAUAUAACACAAUGGUUUUGUUUCAAAUAAAAGUUAUUUGUAAAAAUCUUUCUAAAAUUUCAUUUGAUAAUGAAUAGAUAAACAUAAUUUCAGAAUUUCUUUGAUUUUCAGUAUAACUGAAAAUAUGACUGGCUAGUAUAAUAAGUAUUCAGUAUGAAAAAUAUGCCAAGUAAAACGACGUUUAUCCAAAAAUCUAUCAAUGGUUAUUUGCCUGCAUGUUCUUAAAUUUGGCCUAUUCUUAAAUAUUUUUUUGUCUUUUUUAUUUUAAGGGCUGCACCUGCAGCAUAUGGAGGUUUCCAGGCUAAGGGUCGAGUUGGAGCUGAAGCCACUGGCCUAUGCUAUAGCCACAGCAAUGCAGGAUCUGAGCCAUGUCUAUGACCUACACCAGAGCUCAUGGCAACACUGGAUCCUUAACACACUGAGCAAGGCCAGGGAUCGAGCCCAUGUCCUCAUGGAGGCUAGUUGUGUUUGUUAACCACUGAGCCAUGAUGAGAACUUUUAAAUUUCUUUUUAAAUUUUGUUCCUUAGUGAUUGAAAUUGAAAAUGAAGAGAAUUGUUAGUAAGUUAUUAUAUAUAACAGACAUUAAUUCAUAUAUGGAUAGUGAAAAGAGAGAAAAUAAAAGAGAUAGAGUGCUUCUAUAGGUAUUCCUAAAUUGUUGGAAGUCCUGAAUUUAUGCAUGGAAUUGCAAGAUUCUCCCUAAUAUGGCUCCAGCCCAUUCCAUACCUCUCUCCUCCUAUCAGAUAUGUCAGACCUACUGAACAAAUGGAAUAUUUCAUAUGAACAUUUCUCAGAUUCCUAUGCCUUUGGGUAAGGUGGACCAAUUGUGUCAUUAAAUUGGUCCACCUCACCCCACCCUACGCUAUCUCUUUCAUAUAUACCUUUAAAAACAUAUAAAUGACUAAGGAAUUAUCUGAGGGGUGGAUGUUUGUUUUGGGUUUUAUUUUCUUUUUUUUUUUUGGCUGUGCCUGCAGCAUGCAAAAGUUUCCAGGCCAGGGAUCCAACCUGAAUCACAGCAAAGACAAUGAGCCGCAGUGGAGACAAUGAGCCCCAGCAGUGACAAUAUCAAAUCCUUAAUUGCCAGGCUACUAGGGAACUCCCAAGGGAUAAACUUUGAAGCAUUUCCUAAUCCUUUGAUUUUGAAAUUGGUAGAUUAAUCAGGGUAGCUUUUGUUGCUUCAUUAUUGUGAACUGAUAUUUUCACAAAUUAGUCCAGUUAGAACGUUCUUGAUCAAUGAUAAUUCAUGGAUCUCGGAUCCUUCCCUCUAGAGGUGCUACAUUCCUUAUAGAUACAGGCAAAUGUUUAAGAAAGAGAAGAGAAAGCACAUUGAUGUAAGAAGUCCUGGAAAAUAUGACCCUUUGGAGGGAAAACAUCUAUUCUAACAACUCUCAGUGGUAAGUUCUCUCUUCUUCCCUUGGUACCUAACUCUCUUGAGCCCUCCGUGCCCCUUGUACAUCACUUCUUUUUUAUUAUCUAUUGUGCUAAAUUACACUCUGUAUUCUUUUUUUUCCAUGUUUUUCUCUCCAAAUAGAUUCCUAAUUCACUGUGAGGACAAAUAAUGCCCUGAAAAUUGUGUUAUCUCAGAGUCUUGAAUUUUACCUGGCACAUGGCAGGAACAAAAUAAGAGUACAUUUUAUUUAAUUACUGGAUUAAGCAAAUUUAUUUCUGCUACUAUUAGUAUUUUCAAUCUAAUUUCUGCUAUCAUGUAAUCAAAUAAGAUUGAAAGAAAUCAAACUCAUUUGUAAUACUCAUUAUUUUUCCUAGAUCUAAAAGAUAGUUAGCUAAUAUUCAUAGCUAAGCUUGUUAAGUACUAUGCCUAAAUCCCUUAACCAAAUCUAACAUUGCUGGUGGCAUCUAAGUGUUUAAGUAUUCAAGUAAUAGGCUGUGUAAAUAUAUAUUUUGUAUUAGUAAAGUCUCAUAAUAGCCAAUUUGGUUAUUACAUUUUCCAAUAGUCUGAAACUCAAUAUUAUCUCUAAGAAGUUUGUGAUAAUGAAUUUCUCCUAUUUUUUUUAUUGCUCAGAAUUGUUUGGGCUAUGGCAUUCACAUUGAUCAUGAAACAGCAAAAACUAAUAAACUAUUUGGGGAACUAAAUAGGAAGAAGGAAAGUCUGAAUGUGCAGCUGCAUGGAACUACUCAUUUAAAAAUUUAUUUUAAAAUUUUAUGAUCAGUUUCAAUUUCAUUAUGUAUAGCCACACAUUUUUAUUUGUUUCCACAUGUGUUAGCUAAAAUGAAUUGUUGUAAUUAGUAUAAAUUGCUGUAUAAGAGAAAUAAAGAAGUUAAAGCUAUCUUGAGGCCACUAUAGCUCAAAAUUUGGUCAGGAAUGUCCCAAUUCCUCCACUCCACAUGUUAUUAUUAAAAUGUUACACGCUUACUGAACAGAAUUUUUUAAGAAACCUAACAGCAAAGUCAAUAACAUUAAUUCUGAAUUACAAAUCUCAUCAUAAAAUUGUAUCAAGACAGCAUAUCUGUUGUCAUUAAACCAAUAGUACUGAAAUAUUUGUGAACAGUUGUUUGAAUUACAACUACCCAAAUUCUCUAUUCCUCAGAAAAGCCCUCAACAACUCAUCUUUUGCUAAUGUUCUAAGUGCCUUAAGUCCAAGUAUAAACUCUAUAACCAUUUACACAUACAGGCAAACAAAAAGCCGAUGCGGAUUUUCAAGCCAAAAAUUCUGAUUGGCAAAAUAUAACUUGAUUUUUUAUAUUAAUUUCUUCUUUACUUUGAGAUGCUUUUCUCACUAGUCGCAGAAAAAUCAGUCUAGUUAACACAGAUAAACUUAAUCACUCUAGUAUUUUUUAAGCCAAUUAAAUUUUCUCAUUUUUUUUCCUUCUUUUCCCAUGGUUUGGAUAACUGAAGUAUCCACACUGAAAUUGAUCAUACCCUCAAGAGAAAAUGUUUGCUUAGAGGUUGCUUUCUAUCUACAAUUACCCUGAUGAGUUUUGUAAACUCCUCUCUACUUCCCAGCUGUCAUGGCUCUUGCACACUGGCAACUGCUGUCCUAGACACAGUCUCCACUGGCCUCCAAUUACAUGGCCAAAUCUGGUAUUUUCUAGGGCCCUAGGUAGCUCACUUAAACUCCUUCUCAUCUCCUGAAAAAGUUAUUCUUCUCUACUUUGUGGGUAAUGGAAAAAUUCUCUAGUCUUCUAUUCCAGUGUUCCACAUAGGAAGUGGACUGCAUAGCCCUUUCUGUUCCCACAAUCCACAAAACAACCAUGGUGUUUUAUUACACCCCAAAUUCAGCCUGGAAUUCUGAGCAUAGAGCCCCUCUUCAGAGAUCAUCCUUCUAAACCUGUAAAUUCUCAGCAGUUAAACUGGUUCUUAGAUUUCACCAUAUUCCAACCAUUGUCAUUAUUUAUGUAAUAAACAUACUUUUGUUAUUACUCUUUGUUACUAUUUAUGUAAAACAGAACAUAUCCAGUGAAAAACUCAAUCAAAUUGGUCAAACCAAAGGAGUAAAAGAGUCCUGAUUGGUCAGCUCGCAAGUGGAGAUUUUGUCCAGGGCUGGCCACGAAUACGCACACCAGUAGAGCUAACCCAAAAAUGUCAUCUGCCUCGAAUAUUACAGCAUAAGGCCAUUGCAUAUUUGGACCACAAAACUAAUUUUCCCUUUACUGAUUUUAGACUAAAAAGAUAUUUUGACAAGCUAUCUUCUUAAAUUGUACAGGAAAUGUACUGGUGGGCAUCCAUACAUUUUAUUAUGAACACAUAUUUUAUUUAUCAUGCACUCAAGAGUCUUACAUAAUUCCACAUUUUCAGUUCUAGCGUAUGUCAGAAUAUACAAAAGAAGUUUUUUGGUUUUUUUUCUGAGUCUAUAAGUCAGAAGAUAUAGUGAAUUUAUUUAGGCAAAUUCCUUCUUAAAUGAGGUCCCAAUGUCCUUUACUCAAAUUUAUACAAUAUGCAUGUUCCUAGUCCAUAAUAUUCCACUAACAUCCAGGUUUUGUAAAAAAAAAAAAAAAAAAAAAAAAAUCAGUGACAGCACAAAGUGGAGUUGCUCAACUUUCUUUUAUAAAGCAUCUUUGCUUAUAACUCUGCUGUAUUUACCCAAUUUACUACAAAGCUUACUAUUGGCUGUUUACCAAUAUUUACCCAAGGCUUAUUCUUAUUUAGCACAUAAAUGUCUAAAAUAUUUAACUGUCCUUAACUUGUUUCCAUAGGUAAGACUGUACUUAUUGGGGAAACACAUUCAAACACUCACCCCGAGCAGUUGAGGCUCAAACCGCAGAGGAGAGUCAUCUGAUGACAACCAAAGCAAAAAGGAAGUUUUGUGAAGUUGGCAAAGAAUGCCUGGGUGAUCUCCAUACCUGUCUGAGUAUGUUGCUUGUACCUCAUGCUCAACCAGUGCCAAGCAGAAGUCAGUUGUUAUUAAUUCCAUACAACUGAAUCACACAGAAUUCCUUCUCUCUGGGACUUAGCCAGAAAUAAGGUUUAUUAAGCCUUACAUCACUUUAUCAUCAAGGUUAACUCCUCACUCUAAGGGCUAUUAAGAGAGCUUUAUUAUUAGUUUGUAAUUUUGUAUGUUUUAAGUGGAAUGACAUUAUUUUGCCCAAGUGAAUAAAAUGAAGUACAGUAAUUGUAAUUGCUAUUGCCAGACUCCAUAGUGAGCCUCACAGGAUUUUCCAAAAGUAAAAUGACAAUGCAUCAUCAUCAACCUGGCUACCUUCCCACCACAAUGAUUUCUGGCCUCUGUCCUACAUUCUCCAACAAUUCUUGAAUGUCCCUGCAUAAGAUAUAUGGUAUGUCAAAGUCCAAAUUCAUUACCUUUCUACUUUUUUUUUUCCUUCAGUACAAGAUAAUCCUUCAUCAUUGACUCAUUUUUUAAAGGAGUCCUCCAUUUAAAAAUGCAUCAAGAUUUUACCAUAAGAUUUCUUGACACUGUCUUGUUAUUAUAGGAAAGAAUAUGUUUGAGAAAAUUAAGUGGGUAGAAUAAUGGCCAAGUGACAAAGCAUGGCAGUACAUUCACAAGAUGGAUAGCACUGCCAUAAGAUGAUAAACUGGUGUACCUGAAUGUUCAUGAGGAUUUAAAUUGUAUUUGGUUAAGAAAAGUGCAGUUGAGAAUUAAGGAGAACCAAUACAUUACAAAAAAAAAAAUCUGAAUAUAACAAAUUCUUAAUGCCUUAAGCCAGCAUUACCUGGUUCCUGUCCCAAGAGAAAAUCUCACCAUUUGAAGCUUGUUCCUUUGCCCAUUCCCCUUCUUAUUCCCCUGCUUCAUACCUUUCCAUAUGUGUGCUAUACACAUAGCAGACACAGACAAGGACACACUGUAACCAGCCAACCUGACCUCCCACAGUUCCUUGAUGGCUCUGAGCCCUUGUACAUAACCAGGAUUUGUUGUUCUAGUACCCUAUUCUUAAAACCAUUUCCCUCCCUUUACUCCUUGUCCUGCUAUCUUAGGACCAGAGUAAAUCUGGCUCUUCCAUAAAUAGUUGGGUUGCAGUUAAAAAGAAAUUGAACUGGAAACUUAAGCCAAAAUGUGGAUGCCACAUGUGCUAAGGCCACUUUUUGUGGAACCACAAGUGUCAAAUGACUAGGUCACAGUUUUGACCAGUUUGUCACAGAGGAAGCUCUAGUUCCCUAACAAAUGGUAAUAAGAUUCGAAUCAAGCCUCAUCCAAACUCUGCAUAUACUCAGCUGGAUGACCUAUUCCAUCUACCUCAGGAGGUGGCAUCAAUGAAUAAACAAGCUUUACACAAGUAGCAUUUGGAAAUUCUUUUCAGAACAGGCAUGGAAACUUUCAUCAUUGUUCAUAAUCCUCAAAGAGAAGUCUAAAGGUACUCCAAAUGUCCUUGAUUUGAAUGUGGCCAGCUACUGGCAUACUAGAAAUAUCUACUAAAUAUUUUAAAAAUCAGUGAAUAACUGGAGACCACUAACAUGUCUAUUUGGUUUGAUUCAAAUUACAAUGUGCUUCUAGAAUUUCAGAGUUAAAGAUAUCAUGUAAUACAUCUGGUUAGCUUCUUGACACUGCAUAUGAGGAAACAAAGGGUAGGUGGGUUUAGUAAAUUACUUCAUUAAAGAUACAUUUCAUUCAUCCCUGGUCUUGCUCACUGGGUUGAGGCUCUGGUGUAGCCCGUGAGCUGUGGUGUGAGCUGCAGACGCGGCUUGGAUCCGAACUGCUGUGGCUGUGGCAUAGGCCAGCGGCUACAGCUUCGACUGGACCCCUAGCCUGGGAACCUCCAUAUGCCGCAGGAAGCGGCCCUAGAAAAG